rnacentral:tRNA from 1 species
GCCCUGAUAGUAUAAAUAUUACUUUGGUCUUGUAAACCAAAAAUGAGGAAAUAUCCUCUCAGGACA